rnacentral:tRNA from 1 species
ACCGGAGUGGCGGAAUUGGUAGACGCGCACGUUUCAGGGGCGUGUAACCGUAAGGUUGUAAGGGUUCGAGUCCCUUCUUCGGUA